GAACCUGUCCUACAGCUUCUCUGUGUUGAUCUCUGUGGAACUGGCAGCCUGCCUGGACAACGUGUGUGGGACAAAAGAUGCCCUACUUGUGGCAUGACUCACCACUGGAUUUGCCUCUCAGCUUCUCACCUCCCUAGUUUUCCAAUUUUAGAGUUGGGACGCGACGCUUGGUGAGGCAAUCGCUGGACCGGAGUAGAGGAGAGGCAAGAAGAAACAAAGCCUGGAAGCAUUGGCUGCUCCCGUCUCUUCUAUCUAAGUUGCCUUCUCGGGGCUACUCUAUGACCCAUCUCCAUUUGCUCUUCACAGGAGAACAUCAAGGAACCCAAAGAUGUCCAGGCUGAUCAGGGCCUUCACGGACAUGAUGGAAGGCAACCAUAAGUCCAACCCUAAGAAAGUGAAGGAGGCAGAGACGUUCAAGAAGAGCGAAUUCAAGAAGCUGAUCCAACAGGAGCUGUCACCAGUCAUGGUCCAGCGAUCCAGCAGCAGUAAGUACAAAAAUAUGAAGAAUGCCCUUGACUCUGAUGCUGAACUGAUGACAGACAAAGAAACUGUACCCUGUGCUUAUUGAAAUCCGUUUCAUGCAGAGCAACCAUAAAUGAAGGUAAUAUGGGCACUUCACUUAGUUUAGACUUCUAUAAGGUGAUUUAUAUGGGUCUCCUCUUGGAAACUGGGCUUUCUCACAGCUGGUAAAUCACCAGCAGUAAUAAGAUCUACUAACCGAAAGGUGGCCAGUUUGAAUCCCGGUCGGGGUGAGCACCUGACCAUCAAGUCCAGCUCACUGUUUACCUAAGCAGUUCGAAAACAACUUAGAGGUGUAAGUAGAGAAAUUAGGUACUGCUAAUUAAGCGGGGGAGGUAUUUUACAACACCAUAAAAUGCCGAUGAUCAAAUGUAAGGAGGAAGUCCUGAUGGCUCUUCGCCAUAGAGAAUGGAACAAUAGCACCCUCCUGUGGCUGAAUCUGAGCACAAUCUUCAGGGCACCAAAACUGGACUUCAAACACAACUUACCUCCUUUCUGUCUGUUCUGUUCUGUCCUGUCUGUCCAAAUGGCAUUGAAUGUUGUGUAUGUGUACUGUGAGUCCCCUUGGGGAGAUAGGGCGGAAUAUAAAUAAAGUGUUGUUGUUGUUGAUAUUAUUAUUAUUAUUAUUUUAUUAUAACAUAGCAAACAAGAUAGAUAUGCUGGAUUUCGUAUCACAAAAUCGCAAGUCGAACACUUCCCGAGUGUUUGUAGUCUGUCUGUGCGAUUUUCUUACAGCAGCUGAGGAUAUGAUCCAUGGUUUUGUCGGUUUCCUUAAACAGUCUGCAUUUUGGGUCAUCAGCUGAUUUUUCCAUCUUGGCCUUAAUUGCCUUUGUCCUGAUGUCUUGCUCCUGGGCUGCAAGGAUCAGGCCUUCUGUCUCCUUCUUCAGGGUCCCAUUUGUGAGCCAGAGCCAGGUCUUCUCCUGAUCAGCUUUUCCUUCAAUUUUGUCAAGGAACUUUCCAUGCCAUGUUUUGUUGUGCCAGCUGUCAGCUCUAGUUUGUAGUGCGGUUUUCUUGUACUGAUUUUUUGUCUUCUGUGCUUCGAGGAGUUUCUGAUUUUUUUACUUCAAUCAAAGCAGGUUCUUCACUUUGCUUUAUUUUUGCUGCUUCUGUGACUGUUCAUUGGUAUUUGUUGUUGUU